GGAGCCUCUACCCUGCCUCAGGGGACAUGCAGCUAACAAUCAUGGUCACAAGAAGGCGCCCCUGGGUGUCAGGAUGUUGCAGGAGCGCCAACAAAUGACUUCGGAGGCCAGGUCACAGAGGGUAUUGCAGUUUCCAGCUGGUGCUGUGCCAGGUCAC